GACGUAGGGGGCCAGCGUUGUUCGGAAUUAUUGGGCGUAAAGAGCGUGUAGGCGGUUUGUUAAGUCUGUUGUGAAAGCCCUGGGCUCAACCCAGGAAGUGCACUGGAUACUGGCAGACUUGAAUACGGGAGAGGGUAGUGGAAUUCCUAGUGUAGGAGUGAAAUCCGUAGAUAUUAGGAGGAACACCGGUGGCGAAGGCGGCUACCUGGACCGAUAUUGACGCUGAGACGCGAAAGCGUGGGUAGCAAACAGG
rnacentral:rRNA from 1 species